rnacentral:rRNA from 1 species
GUCGAACGCUGGCGGCGUGCUUAACACAUGCAAGUCGAACGAGUGGCGAACGGUUGAGUAACACGUGGGUGAUCUGCCUUUCACUUCGGGCUACGCCUGGGAAACUGGGUCUCAUACCCGAUAGUGCAAGAUGCGCUCGCGGCUUAUCAGCUUGUUGGUGGGGUAAUGGACACCAAGGCGCGACGGGUAGCCGGCCUGAGAGGGUGUACGGCCACAUUGGGACUGAGAUACGGACCAGACUCCUACGGGAGGCAGCAGUGGGGAAUAUUGCGCAAUGGGCGGAAGCCUGAUGCAGCGACGCCGCGUGGGGGAUGAAGGCCUUCGGGUUGUAAACUCCUUUCGACAGGGACGCGGUACCUGUAUAAGAAGCACCGGCUAACUACGUGCCAGCAGCCGCGGUAAUUC